AUUGAGCGCUGGCGGCAUGCCUUACACAUGCAAGUCGAACGGUAACGGGCCUUCGGGUGCCGACGAGUGGCGAACGGGUGAGUAAUGCAUCGGAACGUGCCUUUCAGUGGGGGAUCACGCAGCGAAAGUUACGCUAAUACCGCAUAUUCUGUGAGCAGGAAAGCAGGGGAUCGCAAGACCUUGCGCUGAUUGAGCGGCCGAUGUCAGAUUAGCUAGUUGGUGAGGUAAAGGCUCACCAAGGCGACGAUCUGUAGCGGGUCUGAGAGGAGGAUCCGCCACACUGGAACUGAGACACGGUCCAGACUCCUACGGGAGGCAGCAGUGGGGAAUUUUGGACGAUGGGGGCAACCCUGAUCCAGCCAUGCCGCGUGAGUGAAGAAGGCCGUCGGGUUGUAAAGCUCUUUCGGCCGGGAAGAAAUCGUAUGGGCUAAUACCCUGUGCGGAUGACGGUACCGGCAUAAGAAGCACCGGCUAACUACGUGCCAGCCGCCGCCGUAAAAC
rnacentral:rRNA from 1 species